rnacentral:rRNA from 1 species
AGCAGUAGCCGCGGGAAAACGUAGGGGGCAAGCGUUAUCCGGACUUACUGGGUGUAAAGGGAGCGUAGACGGCAAAUAAAGUCUGAAGUGAAAGCCCGCAGCUCAACUGCGGAGUUGCUUUGGAAACUUAUAAGCUGGAGUGUCGGAGGGGUAAGCGGAAUUCCCAGUGUAGCGGUGAAAUGCGUAGAUAUUGGGAGGAACACCGGAGGCGAAGGCGGCUUACUGGAAGAUAACUGACGUUGAGGCUCGAAGGCGUGGGUAGCAAACAGGAUUAGAGACCCCAGUAGUCCCUGUCUCUUAUAC